CAUCUGUCUACAUACAGAUUAUGUAUAUGAAAAGUAUAUAGAUGUGAAUUUAUUGGUGUCCAUAUGUAUGCAUUUAUUUAUGUGUGUAUAUAUAUUGCAUGGAUAUGAAAAAUAUUAACAAUUGGUAUCUGUGUGCGGUGUGAUUAUGGGUGAAUGCUGUGCUUAAAGACAUUUUUUUUAGAGGGAAAGUGGAUGCUUGAAUGACAAAUGGAAUGUCGGUUAGAGGCAAAAGACCAGGCUUAAGGCUUGCGAGUGGGGAGGGGUGCAUGGUGGCUGAGAGCAGGGGUGCCAGGGUCAUCCUGGUCCUGGUGUGGCUUCUGCUCAGACAUGAUUUACCCUCAGGGCUCUGGGCAGGGGCUGCCAGCUCUCUGAACGUUGGCAUUGUCAUCUGAAGAAGGGCGUGAGAGGAUUCCUGCUGCAGAGUGGUGUUGUAUUAAGCGGGGUGUAUCUGUAAAGUGCCUGGCACAGAGCAAGCACUCAAUGAAUCCUAAUUAGAUAUAAAUAUACUGUCACUUGAGAAUAAUAUCAUCAUCUGUUUCUCUUCCCGUCCUUCUUUCCUUCCCUCCUUCCUUCCAUCGGUCUGUCUACUAUCAAAACACACACACACACACACAGUUAGUCAUGUAUCUCAGAGAGGAGUCUUGAUUUCUAAAGCUCCAGAGGGUGGAACCCAUCGGUAAAGUCACAGAGAGUCCAAUUCCAGCUCUGAAUUAGGAAGAAUUUUCCAGCUCUCCUUAGGUGAAAGUGGGAGCCCAUCGCGGGAGGUAUUCGAGCAGGUUCUGGGUGAACAGGUGGCAGAGGUGUGGGAGACAACAUUUGAGGGCCAGGUGACUGGGUUGAUCAGGCCAUUGGAUCCGUUUCCGGUCCCUGGAUCGAAGCCGCCAGCAGAGGGAUGAGAAGAUGCCCACAGUCCGGUGGCUGCGCUGCAUCCGGCUCCGCCCCUCGCCAGCUGUGUGAGAUGCUGGCACCGGCAUCGCCUCUCCUGGAGCCUCAGGGAUCACGUCAGUAGCGUGAUCUUUGCGGUGCAGUUGUUGUGAGAUCUAGAAAGAGUGAAAUUUAGAUCCUGCUCCUAUGAUUUGUUUUGUUUCAGGGGAGCUGGAACUUAGCAGAGAGCCGCUCAUUCAUCCUGCCUGCAUUCCCUCCUCCCACAGAAACUCAUCUGCGCCUUCUGGGCGCCCGGCCUCUGUGGGCCCCUUUAAGGCCUCAGCGCUCCACGGAUGCACUGCUAUCACGGCCCCCAAACCCUCAUCCCAAGAGUCAGGCUUUAUCUCCAAGGCACCAAAGGAUAGUCGGGACGAAGCUGGGCUCCUUGCCAGAACAACGCAAUGAGAGGCUUUGCUCUGAUGGGCUGGCUUCCUUGCCUACAGGAUGGAAGAUGUACACCCGGAGUGGAACAAUGGAGUAGGUUUUUUUGGCAGUGAACUUGUACUGAUCCAAUCAGUGACCUUCAUUUCAGGAAUUCAGGAAUCUCUGGAAGUGCGAGGAUCUGCCCCAUUGUCAUCCUGCCGCUCCUGGCUCAUCUACAUCUGACCUUCUGUUUACAACCAAGCCCGGAGGAAGCUGCUGGGGGAAAGCAGAGCCUGGCACUAGAGAAGCAUCCUGACAAAAUAAUUACAGCGUCAGCAAGAGAGUGGUGAGUUGCAGCUAAAACUUAAUAAUCGGAGUCCCGAAUUCAAGCUGGGAAGUGAAUUCAACUACUGCAUGCCUCCCUUGGGGUCCUUCAAUCACAUUCUGACUUGGACCCCCUACUGGACUAGGAAUUGAACGGUUUGUCACCUCAGAUUCAGGAGAUGGCUACCAAGGCGCCAGACAGGUGUCUUCUCCUCCUUCUAGGGAGGAAGCAGGGUUGCGGGCAAAAGGCUCUGUCAGCCUGUGUCUUUGGAAGAAGAUCCACCUUCCAGCGGCCUUUCAGAGCCACCUGCUCAUGGAGCUCUCUGGCCAGCACGGGGUCACUGCUACCCAGGGCUGCAAAGGAGCCUUGGAAAGACCCUAGGAGGCAGAGGAGGCGGGGGCUGGCCGGGGUGAUGGUCAACUCGUGGUGGCCCAGGGAGAGCUCAAGCCCUCCCCUCCGAUGGCCUUGUGUCUGCUGCUCCAUGGGGGGCUGAGUCGAGGCUGCCUUGCAGAUGCCCAGCCCCCAGCCUGCUCCUGGUUCCACCGCUCACUCACCGUGUGACCACGAUGCUCACGACAGAGUUCAGCCUGUGGGAGUGACUGGAAUAGAAAUCCAAUGGGCAUGAAAGCUAAAUAUUUCUGAUCCAACUGGAAUUGGACACCUACAAAGCCUGCACAACCACAGCGUCUCCCCAGCCGUGAGUCACCACGUGCGUGUCUUGUUCUCCACGCCCUGAUGCAAUCAGACCAGACUCAAUGCUGUCAACAGGCUUCCACGUCUCGUUGGCUGCCCUGGGCGUUUACUUUUCUCCCCCGCAAAGUCCGCUGGGAGUCUAGCCUUGCCAGGAAGCUCACUGUGGAAUGGGACCCCCCCAUCUCAGUGCGUCCAUCUUUUAGCUGCACGUGGCUCCAGCGUCCCUGUGGCAGGGAGGAGGCUGCAGGUCCCUGCCUGGGGUCUCAGAUGCUUCAGCCUGGAAGGGACAGGGCUCACUUCCUCUGCUCACACCCAUUGGCCAGAAGUGGUCACAUGGUGUCAGCCAGCUGCCAGGGGCCUGGAAACAAGGGAUGAGCAGGAGGCAGUAAGGGUCACCCUGGUUGCCCUGGCUUCCUGCCCCCUCCGCCCCACCUGCACACGCUCCAGGGAUGCUGAGGUUUUUGGUCCUCAGGAUGAGCUUCCCCACGCUCACCUUCUCCUCCGUGCAUGUGCUGCACCUCUGGCCCUACCCCACUUCUCCUGGCUGAGUCCUACUCAUCCUUCAGGCCUUAUGUUAGGUUUCACUUUCUGUCCCCCCACCCCCCGGGUGGGUCGAGGUGCCUCCCGUGGGCUCCCAUGGCUCCCUGCAUGUAGACCAUUGGGCAUCACUGCCCAGUAGUUCAUUUUCCUGCCUUCAUGACUCUCUCCCCGCGCUGGUCUGUGAGCUGGUCCUGACACCCUGUGCUGAUAGCCCAGCACCCAGUGCAGGUGUUCACUGGCCAACUGUUCAUGAAAAAGAGCAAUGAAUGAACCUUUAUUUCAGCUGUCUUGAAUCCUUGUCUUGGGAAGUGUGGAAUGAACAGAGGUGAAUCAGUUUUGUUAGAGAGCUUUCAGGCAAAAAAAUACAGCAUCCUGACGAUACUUGACUGUCUCUAGGGACGGAGAGGAAAGCAGUGUGGCUGCCUCUCCCCAGGGAAGUUUGCUUCACUGCACAAAUAGAAACGAGGGUCAGGGAUGCCUCGUACAGAAUUUUGUUUGCCGAAGUUUGCAGCAUCUCUUGUUAGUAGAUGGAAGCCUUUGUUUCAAGGGGCAGUGUAAUCAGGGUGGUGGGUAUGGUGGCUGGAAGCACAGGCCAGCACUCUGAUGCCAGCUCUGUCACCAAGAGGCUGUGGGGUCUCGGGAGAGACACUUCACUCUUCUUUUUUUCUUAAGUUUAUUUUUUAUUGAGAUAACCCUGGCUUAUAACAUUGCAUAGGCUUCAUGUGCGGGUAUUGUAUUUCUGCUUCUGUAUACCCUACAGGGUGCUCAACACCGAAAAUUUAUUUUCCAUCUGCCACCAUGCAGUUAAUUUCCUAAUUUACCCAUUUUGCUCUCCCCACGCCCCUUCCCCUGCGGUAACUGCCACUCUGUUCUCUGUAUCUUUGGUUUAACUUUGUGUGUGUAUUUAGUUUGUUUUUUAUAUCCACAUGAGAGUGAAAUCACACAGUAUUUGCUCUUUGUAACAAGGUCCUUGAGGGUAUUGUGUUUAGGGAAA